CCUACGGGCGGCUGCAGUGGGGAAUAUUGCACAAUGGGCGCAAGCCUGAUGCAGCCAUGCCGCGUGUGUGAAGAAGGCCUUCGGGUUGUAAAGCACUUUCAGCGGGGAGGAAGGCGGUGAGGUUAAUAACCUCAUCGAUUGACGUUACCCGCAGAAGAAGCACCGGCUAACUCCGUGCCAGCAGCCGCGGUAAUACGGAGGGUGCAAGCGUUAAUCGGAAUUACUGGGCGUAAAGCGCACGCAGGCGGUCUGUCAAGUCGGAUGUGAAAUCCCCGGGCUCAACCUGGGAACUGCAUUCGAAACUGGCAGGCCAGAGUCUUGUAGAGGGGGGUAGAAUUCCAGGUGUAGCGGUGAAAUGCGUAGAGAUCUGGAGGAAUACCGGUGGCGAAGGCGGCCCCCUGGACAAAGACUGACGCUCAGGUGCGAAAGCGUGGGGAGCAAACAGGAUUAGAUACCCGAGUAGUC
rnacentral:rRNA from 1 species